AGUGGAAUUGCUGGGUCAUAUGGUAACUCUGUGUUUAACCUUUCGAGGAACUGCCAGGCUGUUUUCCAAAGUAGUUGCACCAUUUUGCAUUCCCACCAGGAAU
rnacentral:pre_miRNA from 1 species